UGUAUUUUGGUGUAUGGUGCACGUGGGUUUUUGAUGCUUUAAGUGUUGGUUUAACUCCAACAAGUACAG
rnacentral:tRNA from 1 species